CCUGCCGGUCCGCCGUUUCGGUGUGCACUGGCCGGGCCCACCUUGUUGCCGGGGACGAGCUCCUGGGCUUUAUUGUCCGGGACUCGGAGUCGGCGAGGUUACUUUGAGUAAAUUAGAGUGUUCAAAGCAGGCCACCGCUCUGAAUACAUUAGCAUGGAAUAACACGAUAGGACUCUGGCCUAUCUUGUUGGUCUGUAGGACCGGAGUAAUGAUUAAGAGGGACAGUCGGGGGCAUUCGUAUUUCAUUGUCAGAGGUGAAAUUCUUGGAUUUAUGAAAGACGAACUACUGCGAAAGCAUUUGCCAAGGAUGUUUUCAUUAAUCAAGAACGAAAGUUGGGGGCUCGAAGACGAUUAGACACCGUCCUAGUCUCAACCAUAAACGAUGCCGACUA
rnacentral:rRNA from 1 species